rnacentral:rRNA from 1 species
UACGUAGGUGACCGAGCGUUGUCCGGAUUUACUGGGCGUAAAGAGCGCGCAGGCGGUCGUUCAAGUCGAGUGUGAAAGCCCCCGGCUCAACUGGGGAGGGUCACUCGAUACUGAUCGACUUGAAGGCAGGAGAGGGAAGCGGAAUUCCCGGUGUAGUGGUGAAAUGCGUAGAUAUCGGGAGGAACACCAGUGGCGAAGGCGGCUUCCUGGCCUGUUCUUGACGCUGAGGCGCGAAAGCUAGGGGAGCAAACCGG